UUACAGUCUAGCGAUAUGAUGUUGUUUUGCUGUCAGGACAAAAUUGACAUCGCUUACAGUUUGGAGAUCAGAGACGAGGCAUAGCUGAAAGAAGUUGCAUGGACUAAAUGGAGAAGAUGAUGACAAAGAAGAUUUACAUCGAAGGAGACGUCACCUGGGAGGCACUGGAUGUGACAGAUAUUAUGAACAGAAGUCACAGCAGAGGUCGGUGCAAAUAAAAGGAGAUGGAGAAGAAGGCGGACUUGCCCACGGAGGGAUUCCGUGGGCAUACUGCUUCUUGUUACUCCGUGUUUUUGAGAUAUGUGUUGGAGAAUGAAAAGUUGGUGUUAAAAUAAAUAGUUUAAAUAAAGCUGUG